rnacentral:rRNA from 1 species
UGUGGAAGUAAGACCCCUUGUAGAUGACGAGGUUGAUCGGUCCGGGGUGUAAGCGCAGCAAUGCGUUUAGCUGACGGAUACGAAUCGGUCGAGGGCUUAUCCUA